AGAGCGAACGCUGGCGGCAGGCCUAACACAUGCAAGUCGAGCGCCCCGCAAGGGGAGCGGCAGACGGGAGAGUAACACGUGGGAACGUACCCUUCAGUUCGGAACAACCCAGGGAAACUUGGGCUAAUACCGAAUACGUCCGUAAGGAGAAAGAUUUAUCGCUGAAGGAUCGGCCCGCGUCUGAUUAGCUUGUUGGUGAGGUAAUGGCUCACCAAGGCUACGAUCAGUAGCUGGUCUGAGAGGAUGAUCAGCCUCACUGGGACUGAGACACGGCCCAGACUCCUACGGGAGGCAGCAGUGGGGAAUAUUGGACAAUGGGCGCAAGCCUGAUCCAGCCAUGCCGCGUGGGUGAUGAAGGCCCUAGGGUUGUAAAGCCCUUUCGGCGGGGAAGAUAAUGACGGUACCCGCAGAAGAGCCCGGCUAACUUCGCGCCAGCAGCCGC
rnacentral:rRNA from 1 species